CGGUGGCCAUGGAGAGGACGAAACACCCGUUCCCAUCCCGAACACGGAAGUGAAGGGCCUCAUCGGCGAGGGUACUGCGGGGUUCGCCCGUGGGAGAGUAGCACGCCGCC
rnacentral:rRNA from 1 species